rnacentral:rRNA from 1 species
UACGUAGGUGGCAAGCGUUGUCCGGAUUUACUGGGUGUAAAGGGCGUGCAGCCGGGCUGACAAGUCAGAUGUGAAAUCCCGCGGCUCAACCGCGGAACUGCAUUUGAAACUGUCAGUCUUGAGUACCGGAGAGGUCAUCGGAAUUCCUUGUGUAGCGGUGAAAUGCGUAGAUAUAAGGAAGAACACCAGUGGCGAAGGCGGAUGACUGGACGGCAACUGACGGUGCGGCGCGAAAGCGUGGGGAGCAAACAGG